AUUAUAUUAUAGAAAUUACAAACGGAAUGACAAACUUAUAUAUACCCUUCUCACGAAGGUGAAGGGUAUAAUUAAUGGUUACAAUUGUUGUCGGAGUGAUCGUCCUCUGAGAAUGAGAGGAGUUGCUCUUUUUAUUUCUAAAAAGUGUAAUUUUAAGGUUGUGUAUAAGAGUGAAUUGUAUAACAUUGCAGAGUCUUUGUUUGUGGAAUUAAAUUGUGGUGGUAAACCAGUCUUAGUGGGUGUGAUAUAUCUGCCUCGUAGGACUAAAGAGCAUAUGUUAACGUUUGAGAGGUCAAUUAGUGAUUUAUUACUAAGAUACCAGAAUAUUUGCUUUCAUAAUUCUCUUCCAACCCAUUUUGAUUUAAAAACUCGCACAACUUCAUUAAUAGAUUAUUUUUUUGUAUCCCACUUAGAUAGGAUUGAUAAAUAUGGGCAAUUACAAUGUCCUGGAGUGUCUCACCAUUCGCUCAUAUAUUGUUACGUGUCCUGAUACUGUCUGUUGUCGUGAAGCCAGCUAGCACGAGCGCACCAUCAGGGCAGGUUCCAACCCACGACCACAGGCCAGAGACAUGAACAAUUAAAAAAAAAAAAAAAAAAAAAAAAGAAAUGUUCUCCAAAACAAUUAUAUAAACUAAACACUACACUGAAACAUUCAAGAUGGAGAAUAGCUGGCGAAGUUCUCCUAAUAAGCCCUCCCAACCUUGGACACAAAUAUUCCAAUGUCACAUUCUGCUGUGUCCCCGAAUUCCACACACACUUACACCAACAUACCUACCUCACAUCAGACCUCACCCUUAAAACAAAAGACUUAGCACACAAACAUCUCUCUGAUCGCUUACAAAAUAACAAGCUACAUAUUUUUAUUAAUUCAAACUUAAAACUAAACAACUAUAUUUAUAUGUGUAUUGUCCUUGAUAAAAAAAAACUAUAUAAAUUAAUAGCAUAAAACGAACGGUUAUGAAACCAGUCUUAUCUUUAAUGACAAAAAUAAAUCAAACGUAUCUCUUGGUUCUCAGUUAUUUGACUAUCUUUCUUAAUCCUAUACUAAACUAAUAUUAUUUUGGACUUUUAAACUUAUCCUAACAAAAUACAAUAAUUUACGGGUGCCUUAAUGAAAAGAAUACAAAUUGAACACAAAAAUUAGGUAUAACAAAAAAAAAAAAAAAAACACACAGAUAUAUAAGUAUCUAUUCCCUUCCUAUAGAGUAAAAAAAAUCUUCAACUUCUAUUGAACAAAUCUGACAAACUAACCUUAAAAACAGUUUAUCACCUUACCUAAAGGAGCUCGCUUAGGGGGUCUUUCACAGGUUAAACAAAAAUGAAUCAUUCGUUGAAAACUUUUUCUUUUCUAGGAAAACAAAUAGACUAUCAUAUACCUAUUUACAUAAAACUCAAUAAGUUACAGGAACAAUCUUGACAUUUAGGCACUAACAAACACAUACGAUUAUGCUUAUACACUAUAUUCCUAACUAACUAUUUUUACUUAAAAAUAUAUCUGAAUAAAAAAAAACUUAAGUUAAAAAAAUAUGUUAUAUAAAAAAAAAAACUGCUAAUUGAUUAUUCUUUCUGUCUUUAGUGGUGUGACUUUUACAGAUGAAAUACUGGGCAGUUAAUGGCAUGAAUUAUGAUUGAAGUUGUUGUCUUAAAAAUUCGGACCCCAGAGGUAGUUCCUACAACCGGGAAAUAUUUCAAGAGUGAAAGUAGGCAGGGUUCCUUUACCAGUGUUUCCUGUUGAAUUCAAUGUAAUUACUUUUCUGUACACUGUUUAUUAUAACACAAGACAUUAAUAAAGAACUCACUUGUAAAUAUU